rnacentral:lncRNA from 1 species
GAGCAAAGGGGAAAUAGAUCCGAUAAAGGGAAGGAAAAAGUGGUCGAAUAGUUAGCGGAAUCGUUCGACAACACCUGAGGUAAGUUCUUGAGUAAGAGAGCUUAAAUUACGAUGUGAUUAAAUCAUGUUUUAAGAAAAUUAAAAUCAUGCUCUAUGUGUGGCUAUUGAGCCGAAUGUGCAAGGAUGGUAUGUGCCUUGUGUUUGAGUUUUGCUAAUGAAAAAGAAAUACGAAUGUGCCAUGAAUUAUUGUUAGAUGUGCAUGAUUAAUUGAAUGCUGUCCGGGCUAAGUCCCGAAGGCUUUGUGCUAAGUGACUAUAUCCGGACUAAGAUCCGAAGGUAUUUGUGCGAGUUAUUAAUUCCGAGUUAAGUCCCGAAGGCCUUUGUGCGAGAUACUAAUUCCGGGUUAAGUCCCGAAGGCAUUCGUGCGAGUUUUAAAAUCCGGGUUAAGUCCCGAAGGCAUUGAAUGAGUUAAUAUAACCGGGCUAUGUCCCGAAGGCACUUGAACGUGGAGCUAAAUCCGGUUAAAUUCCGAAGGUACGUGAUUUUGGUAAUGAAUGAGCUUGCUGUAAAAUUCCAGCUAAUACUCGAAAAACAUCCCAAUAUUGGGAUAUGUUACGUAUGUGUAGAAUUUAAUCGAGCCCUUACAAAUAAGUAUUCGCUCAGUUGAUAAACGAGCUACCGGCCUUUGGCUGAGUUGAUCUUUUGUGUAUGUACAUAAGGGUUGAUAAUGUGAAGCAAGUACGAUAUCGUAAAUUUGUGCAUAUGAAAUUAUCCGUUUAGCUAUAUGAAUGCUAUACUUUUGUUGUGCUGGAAUUCCUUGCUCAAAACUUACUAAGCAUAAAUUGCUUACUCCGUUUUAUUGCUCCUCUGUUUUAUAGAUUUGGUUCUCCAGCUAUCGGACUCGGGAUCUUGAAGUCAAAGUCGCCCACACUAUCAAAGCCCCCCCCUUUUGGUACAAUUUUGGUUGAACUUCGAAAUGGCAUGUAUAGGACUACCCGUUUGUUGUGGGUCGUGGACCCUUUGGACUUGUAUAAAU